rfam:Sarcophilus harrisii ctg7180002506273, whole genome shotgun sequence.
CCAAAGGCUCUUUUCAGAGCCCCUCACAUGGACAAGGGGAGCCUGU